GACGAACGCUGGCGGCGUGCUUAACACAUGCAAGUCGAACGAUGAUGCCCAGCUUGCUGGGUGGAUUAGUGGCGAACGGGUGAGUAACACGUGAGUAACCUGCCCCUGACUCUGGGAUAAGCGUUGGAAACGACGUCUAAUACUGGAUUUGAUCACUGGCCGCAUGGUCUGGUGGUGGAAAGAUUUUUUAGUUGGGGAUGGACUCGCGGCCUAUCAGCUUGUUGGUGAGGUAAUGGCUCACCAAGGCGACGACGGGUAGCCGGCCUGAGAGGGUGACCGGCCACACUGGGACUGAGACACGGCCCAGACUCCUACGGGAGGCAGCAGUGGGGAAUAUUGCACAAUGGGCGCAAGCCUGAUGCAGCAACGCCGCGUGAGGGAUGACGGCCUUCGGGUUGCAAACCUCUUUUAGUAGGGAAGAAGCGAAAGUGACGGUACCUGCAGAAAAAGCACCGGCUAACUACGUGCCAGCCGCCGCCGUAA
rnacentral:rRNA from 1 species